CACCUGCAGGAUUUGAAUUUAUAAUGCCCUGCUAGAACUGUCGAGGGAAACCAUCCUCUGCGUUCUAAGUCAUCGGCGUUUUCAUACACGGCUUCUUUUCCUCUUGGGAAGCUUUCUCCGCCCUUCUUCUUUUCCGUGUUGUUUCACUGCCCUUUCGCAUUUGCUUUGUGAAGGAUCCCGCACCUACCUUUACACAGCCUUUGUCUUCUAUAUACAGCAGUUAUGCUGCUGGUUUGCCGUAUAGCUCUCUAGGGUCAAGAGAACUCACACAGGGUGAGCGACUAAGGGCGUGGCUUCAAAGGCAAGAGCUUCCCAGUGCCAUGCCUCCAUCCACCUCCCCAUCUGGGAACCUGGAGUUCUUCGUCUGACCUUCCCCUGCACGGGCUAGGUAACAAUACAGGGGUGCUCCUUUGCUUCAACAGCCCACGGAAAGCUCUGGGAGGAAGGGGCGCUGUUGCGGAUGGACAGCCAAUCCCAUACCAAAGUCGAAGAUCAAUCACUCCAGAGGAGGUUUAAAAGAACUCCUCUCAUUGGACGAGAACACGAAUGGGGUCCUAACUCACCCCAGAAAGAGUCCUGUGUGCCUUCUGUUCUACCUGGAAUCAGAGUUUCCCAGUGGGGAGCGUGCCAUCUUCCCGUGUUGGUGGAGAGUUUUGCGGUCUGCCAUGGCUUUCCUGGAUGUUACAGUGAAUGUGCUGAAAACUGUAGGGAAGGAGUGUCCAGUCUUCUGACUUCCCUGGGCCACGUUGGGAGACAAAGAACUGUCAUGGACCACGCAUAGAACACGCUAACACCGAUGCAGGCUGGGACACAAAGAUGGACAAGACUGGAUAAAUAAGGAAUGUGCACAGAUAACCAUACUGCAAGACAAUGUGAUAAACGCUGUGUGAGGACAAAACCAGACCCAUUGUCACACAGAAGAGGGGGUAUAUACUCCUGGUGCGUCUCAGAGAAGGAUUUAUUAAAGAGGUAAUAUUGAUCUGGAAACUGGGAAUCUCUAGGGUUUAGACAGUAAGAAAGUGGUGGCAAUUCAACGUGAGCAAACCUUAUUAUCAAAGAUCAUUUGUUCAUAUAUUAAUCAAACGUCUAUUAAGCACCUAUGCUAUGUAACUGCAGUUCACAAGUAGUUUAUAAUCUAUCUGAGAAGACAAUCACUUACCUAACAAAUAAAAUGGAAUGUGAUAAAUUUGGUGAGAGUGAU
rnacentral:lncRNA from 13 species